CUUGGAGCCAGCUGAUUAAGACUGAAACCUCAACAAACUAAAGGACCUCACGUGCCCUGCCCACUGCUGUGCCCUCCUGGCUGCAGCCCAUGAAAAUCUAGGGCCAAGACCACCCUGCUGUCCCCACCACGGUACACGGACUCCGGAGUGUGGAGCCUACAGGUAACCGGGGCCCAGUGCCCCACAAGGGCCCCACAUCCCUGUCCUCCCACCAGGGGUCAAGACACCAUGGAGGGAACCCGGGCCCUGUGUUCCACCCGUGUCAGCACCUGUGGAAGAGCUAAACUUCGAGGUGGGGCAGUCACAGGCAUGGAGGCAGGCGGGAGGGCAGCAGGCUGGCAGCUGGCCAGGGGGUGAAGAGGGCAGCACUGUGGCCAGCUGAGAGCGAGCCAUGUCCGCAUCUCGGUCGGCAAGUCACAGCAGGCGAGGGAAGCUGUGCCCUCCUGCCCACCGUCCACCUCAGGGCCUGCCCUUUGGCCCAGGCCCCGUGCCAGAGCCCUCUGCUAACCCCACCGCCCGACCCUGGCCUUCCUGGGGCGUCCUCAGACCGGCUUGCACGGAGUCCCCCGUCCACCCUCCACCCUCUAGCCCUACCUGCCCCCAAGCGCACACACCCUCCUUUGCCCUAUUCUUUCCGGCCUCGGGCAUUCAGGUUUCCCGAGACCCCAGGCCAGGGUCUCGGCCUUCCCGCACCCCGUCCUCGCGAGGCUCCCGGCCCGGCCCGGCCCGGCCCGGCCGUCGUCACCGCCCCCGGUUCCCCGACCCCCAUCCCAGAGUCCCAGCGGCCCA